AUUAAAUUCAAGAGUAUAUUUUAUUUAAAACAACGUAUCCAAUAUAUUAUUAUUUCAUGAAGUAUUCAGCAUAAAAAUGUUACAUAUAAAUUUUACAUUAUUUCCUCAUAUUAAGUCUUUGAACUCCAAUGUGCAUUUUAUAUUGACAGUAAAUUUCAACUCACGCCAGCCUCCUUUCAGGUUUUCAAUAGGCGACUGUGGCUAGUGGCUACUGUUGCUCUAGAUUAUUUUUUCUGGUCAACGAUGAACUUGUCAGGACUUUACUAGCAUGUUAGAGCUGGUCAAGACCCCUGUGCUACUACCACAGGUCACUGGCAUCACAUCGACCAACCUUCCACCAUUGAUCCCAGAGGGAAAUGAGGAAGAACCUUUGCCUCUUUAUUUGCAUCAACAAGCUAUUAUGUAAAAAUUAAGGGCAGAAACCCCAAACUAGAAAAAUCGAGGUGCUUAUAUGAAACAGAUUUAGGAUGAAGUUCCUUUACCUGGCCCCAGCUGGAGAAUCUGGCCUGAGAGCCUUUUCUUAGUGCUAGCUCUGAAAUUCCAUCUACCCCCUAUGUUUAUGUCUCUCCCUGUUGGACUGUUCCAUCAGCUUUAUAUCCUCAGUCCCCAACACAUAGCUGCAGCCUAGCAGGUGACUGUAAGUGUCUGUUACACUGAUCUAAGCUAAUAAGAACCUCUAAAUAUGAGGGAAGGAAGAAGAACUUGGUGUCUUGUCAAGUAAGAUGAAAUUCAUUCUGUAGACAAAUUGAACUUACACUAUCUACAAUUAAUUGACAGGGACACUGGAUGUUUAAGAAAGUCUUCCAUAGUGUACCCACCUCACUAUGCUAGAAGUUUUCUUCAGCCUCUUGCUAUAAUCUUACUCAGAAAGAUUUGAAAAUAAAGCUUACCUCCUAAGGAAUUCAAAUUUACUUUAAAGCAUUCUUUUUAUUAUCACAACUGUGCCUUCAAAGUGAUAUCUCAUAGGUGAUGAGAAAAUGUCACAAAUUAUUUUUAAUUAAUAUAUCAAUGCUACAUUAUUCAAUGGAGAAACUCAAGGCACGAAUGCAAUUUUUCAAUAAGAGCUGAACCUGUAGCUUCAUGUCUUCAUCUGAUGCACAUAUGGAGACAGAAGAAAAUCUAUUUAAGUAUCAGUAUGUUUGUCAUUGGCAUGUCUGUCUUGGAGUCAUCAUUGAAGCAUUUUCAGAGUGCAGAGGUAACUGAAAGAAGUACUUACAAAUAAAAGCCAAACAAUGUUAGGUUAGGCAAGUUACUUAAGCCUCUUAAACCUCCACUUCCUUAUCUGUAAACAUAGGAAAAGAAUAAUGCCUAACUCAUAAUGGGCUAUUGUGGAGGCUUAGAUAAGGCAUAGAUUUGUGUUUAGCAAGAGGACAGGCACUAGGUAAAGUCUUAAGAAAUGGUAGCUAUUCAUAUAAACACAUUUGAUUUCUCAAAAAUGAGGUAAAAGGUAGAGGAGGAUAAUAGUAGAUAAUUUAUCUGUUCUUUGCUAAAGCUGGAAAAAGUGUGAAUCAUGCUAAUGACUGUUUAUUUUACCAGAAUAAACACAAUUUCAGACAUAUCAUGACUCUAAAAGGAGGUGAUGAUUCUACUUCCUGCCAAGUCAUUGGGUAUAGAUGACUUAGUGGCCCAUAUUCUUUGAAACACCCUUAUUUAAUGUCCAAGAUAUCUCUGGUUUUUUUCUGUCUGGAGACAUCCGUGCUCACAGAGGGAGAGGGCAACACCCCGUGGUUAGAGAUCAGAAUGUAGAGUCAGACUCAAGGACAAAUAUUCCAGUCUUGCCACAUACUCUUGAAUCACCUUCAAAACAUCAUUUGGAUCUAGAGACUGCAAAACCUUUCCAUCUUUCAAGCACUUUAGAACCUUCAAAGUUGCUCAAAGGCUUGGAAACCCAAUGAGAUAUUAUUGGAAGAACUAUGUAAAUGUAUGCAUGCUUUUAUCCGAUAAUACUCUAAUGACUACAAUAAUGACUUCACUGUAAUAAGCAAUUGGGUGGAAAGGUUAGGCAAAUAAUAGAAAACUUGGAGAGUAAUGUGACUUUUAUCUCAAUGGAAAAGGAACCUAAUCUAAAACUGCUCACUGAAUUGGAUCUGGCCUGUACCCUUUGUAUCUGUUUCAACAAAUGGGUAAAGUACAAUCACAACCCAUCGAAUUUGUUCUCUUAAGUAAGUCUUAAGAGGCUCCGCCUUCUUAAGUAUAUCAUUAGUUUUCUUAGCAAGUCCUUUUCUUACAUAGAAUGCAAUCGUAAUCUGCAAGUUAAUUCAAGACAAGGUAUUACAUUCCUUAAAUUAUUGGAAAGUAUACAUUUUUAAAUACAUUGAGUGGCUGACUCAAACAUGUCUAUAACUACUGAUGGCAAAGAACAUGGUCUCUUUAUCAGGAAUGUCUAAGUUAUUGACAUUGGAGUCACACAACCUGGUGCUAAAUUAUCAAUCUGCCUCUUAAACUCUCAUGUAACUAACGUUAAGUCCUUUAAAUGAACUGAGCUUCAGUUUCCAUAUAUGUGAACUGUAUGUAGCUAACUUUUCCUUCUCUAUAUGCCACAUAGUAUUGUUAGAAGAGGGAAAUGAGAAAUUGUUAUGCAGCCUAAAGAUAAAUAACAAUAAUAUUCCUUUUUUUUUUACAAUUUUAUUUUUCAAAUUUUAUCGUAGUAUGACGUAUAGUAUUUGGGUAGAUGAACAAAAGAUUCAUAUAAAAUGUUAAUUUCUACAUAUUUCAAAAAUGGAGUUUAAUGAGGCCAUUCAAAAAUAAUAUUUCCUUUUUUGGCCAGGCACUGUGGCUCAUGCCUGUAAUUCUAACACAUUUGGAGGCUGAGGCAGGAGGAUCUCUUGAGCUCAGGAGUUCAAGACCAGCCUUGGCAACAUAGCCAGACCUUGACUCUACAUUUUUUUUUAAAUUAGCCGGGCAUGGUGGUGUGAAUCUAUAGUUCUAGCUACUCAGGUGUUUGAGGUGGGAGAAUCACUUAAGCCCAGGAAGUCGAGGCUGCAGUAAGCAGUGGUCAUCCCAUUGCACUCCAGCCUGGGCAACAGAGUGAGAUCCUGUCUCAAAAAAAAAAAAAGAAUACCUUUUUUCAUGUUUUAUAAUUUUUUUCCAAAUCACUUUUAUGCAUGGUCUCAAUUUUCUCCUCAUGACCCAGUGAAAGUAGGUAGUACAAGCACUGUUUUCAUUCUCAGAUGUUCCAACUGAGGUAAAGAAAGCAACUUAAUCAACUUAACAUAGAUUUCCAUGAAACAAUGACAACAACGAAAUCAGCCUUGCAAGAAAUUUCCACUCUAACACUCAUUUUCUGCCACCAUAAUUUUUCCAGGGUCAGAUGCUUAAGGCAAUGUUCUAAGUUCAUAAUUAAGUUUAGUUGCAUGCACAAUUUGGGUAGUUAAGUAAUUACAUGAUUUGCACAUGCAAAUACUGCAAUCAUUGGCACAUAAAAAUAACGUCCUUUAAACAUCUGGGCCUGAUGGAGGACAAAUGGUCAGGAAAAUCAGAAUUUCUGUGGUUCCCCAAAGGGAUCACUAUAAACAGGAAACACUACAAUCUGUUCUCAGACAUUUAGAAAAUCCACUCACUUUAACCUAGAGAAAAGAAGCAACAUGGAGGCAUUCUAACUUCGACUUCUCCUCUCCAAAACUAUCCAGGUACCGAAUAAGCUAUUUGUAACCAUGAAAUGUCUGAACACUAAUCAGAACAUUUGAGUGUAAAAUACAGUCCUACCACUGAAGAGGUUGAAAAGUUUUGAACAAAUCACUUAAUCCCUGAGUCUCCUAAUAUUAAUCUCUAAAAUAGGAAUAAUAACAAUAUCAACACUAUAGGAUUGAAAAGAGAAAUAAAUGAGAUAAAUUUCGUGAAAGUUUUCUGUAAAUGCUGAAAUCCUGUACAAAUAAGAUAAAUUUUUAUUAGGUUGGAUAUGUAUAUGAGGCUAUCAAACAUCCAAAGAUCCCAAUAGACACAAAAUGGUUUUGUUUGAUUAUUAUUAUUAUUAUUAUUUGGUUGAAAAACUAGCUAUCUCUAAGAGAGCUAAGUACUUUUAGUACAUUUCCUCUCUCACCCUGAAAAGAAGUAUAACAUGAAAGGGAAAUGAACUUUCUUUUAUAUCCAGAGGUGAUGUGGCCUCUGUUAGUCCUGUAUCUAGUUUGUGAACCAAUAAUUGAAGGUGGAUGACAAAGAAAUUGGCAAGAAUUUCCAAGGAGGGCAAAAAUUCACGUCUGUAAUGUUAGAAACUAGGCCCGCUGAUAAAAACAGGGGGCAAAACAUUUUUUAUUAUUACAAUAAAUUCAUGAGUUUUGUGACCUUGCUACAGUUUUUAAGGGGUACGAAAAAUGUUUCACAUCUGAGGCUGAAAAUACAGCCCUGACUGAAAAUGUAGCCAGAUAAAUGUAUGUGAGACAUUGUGCAGAAUGGUCUAAAACUAAAAUUCCAAGGCAUCAGAAAAUGUUUUCAUUAGAGAGCUUGUGUCAUUUCCUUGUGGGAGAUUGACAGACAUAUUUGUAAAUUUUGAUAUGAUGAACCUGUAAGAAGGUUAAAAAAGGAAUUGUGGGUCAUGUUAAAAGAUUUCCCAAGAGAUGUAAUUCUAGAGUUGUCCUACUCCAUUCUUUCUCACACAGGAAAAAAAAAAAAAACACAUUGAUAAAAAUGUGUGUCCUCUCCUUCCCAAAGCCCUCUUUCUAACUCAGAUAACAGUAUGGUUCCACGGAAAAGCAAUGGCUUUGGAGACACGGAGAUGUUGUUAUACUCUAAUCUCAUCAUUGGCUGGGUGCAUGGAUCUGGCAAGAUAAUAAUACUUAAACUCAGGCAUUUUCAUUUGAAAAUAUCUAAAACAUUCUCAAAUUCUAAGUAAACUGCAAGGGAGAUUAGGCACAGCUUCAUCAGGAUUCCAACAUCACCAGGACCCAGUUUCUAGCUCUCAGAUACAUCCGUAUGGCUACAUAUGGUAGGUGGCAAGAUGACAGGAGUAGUUCCAGCCUGUGAUUCCCAACUAAAGGCCAAGAGAAAGGGCAAUCGUGUCUGUGGCAGAACUUUCCAUACACACGUAUUUGAUUCUGAUUGGCUCAAAGGUAUUCACAGUGGCCAGGCAUCUGGGGACUCUGCGUCUGUCAGAACACACGUGCUGAAUUUUGGACGAGGCAGGAAUUCUGUGUACACUUUUUUUCCAGAAUUUCAGGAAAUAGACUGAUGGCAGAAAAAACAGAUACCCUCUACAGAGGUUUAGGGAUAACCUAUGUAGGGACAUGGUGGUGAAUACGAGGGCUUCAUUGAUAACUUUUUCAAUGUCUACAGUUCCAACAUUUUAGAUACAAAGUGAAGAUAUCACUUUCUUAUUUUAUUUCUUAUUCACAGAUAAAAUCUUCAUCCGUCAAAUUUUGCUCCCCAUAGGUGGCCUUCAGACACUUCUUCCACAAGGAAAUUGGGCAGCUUCCUGAAAUGAACAACCCGUAAAGCCAUGGGAAUUAUGGAUCAGCUCCCAGACCUUCCGCUUCAUGACUGCAAGCCUUUGUGAAAGUUUCUGACCUCUUUAUGCUUCAGGAAUCUUAGCAAUGAAACAAGGAUAAUGGCACUUGCUGUGACGAUCAUGCUUCCAACAGUUCAAAAAGCCAAGGGAAGAUCAGAAGCUUAUCUUCCAGCCAACUGGGGUGGGUUGGUGGGGGUUGGUGGAAUUUGACAGAAGCUUGUAAUCAGCCACAUUGGAGGAUGAGGGGAAGGCCUGUCAUCUGUUUUGAAACGUGUUACGACAAGAUGUUACAUUUCUGGAAACCUGGGUGCAGAAAAAGGUGGGCAGAUUCCAUUCUAGUGGUUUAAUUAAGAAGGAAAGUAAAGAUCUAACGUUAAGUCCAGCCCUGUUGUCUGGACCUCCUCUCUCGGGAAGCAGGGGUAGUGGCAGGGGAGGCUGGGGGAGAGGACAAGGGCACUGGGAUGUGCCGGCCAGCGCGUGGCAGCUGUUCAUGGUGAAUCCUAUUCUAGCUCAUGGCCAUGUGUUCCAGCCCUUUUGGAAAAUUACCUCCAAAUAACAGAUCACGAAAGAGCAACUCCAACAAGCCCUAUAAUUUAGUCCCCAGAGGAAAUUCUUCAUUCAUCAAGUGUACAGGAGGCUAAAUUAGUUCUAUACCCAAGUGGGCCCUGGUUGGCAAUUUUAUGUGAGGGUAAACCCUACCUUGGGGAGGAGUCCAGCCAGAAGGGCUGGUGGCCAAGUGCUGCCUGGUGUCCAGCUGUGUCAGACCACAUAUUGCACCACAGAUUGGGGAGAGUUCCUGGGGAAUAUCUCUGGGACUCAGUCCCUGUCACUUUUUUUUUUUUUUUCCAGAUGCACUUUUCUGAGAGUUUGUGCGGAUUGAGUGAAUCUGCUUCAUUUCAGCCCGAAGUUGCUGGAGGGUCCUUCGUCAGGAGACAGUAUAUAUAGACUUGCCAGAAGUGCAAUAAUUAUUCAGUCUCUUUCUCAGUAUUAAGCCAAUGUACAAAAUAAUUACACAUCUGCUUCUAUAGUAUGCACAGAUGUUGCUGUUGUUGUCAUUGAUUUGUUCAUUUGUUUUUGUUCAUCUUCCAUGAAUCUAUUCACAGCCGGGAAGCCAACUCCACUGUUGGUGGACAUUAAAACCUAAACAAAACAAAAAUUCCUUAGAAGACAGUUAAAGGACGGGUACGUUUAAGAGUAUGUCUCUUUUUCCCUCAGUCAAAUCUUUAUUUUUGUAAACUUUGUUUUAUCUUAAUUGAGAGGUAGUUGAAUUCCUCAGGUGUACCAAACAUUUCAAGGUCUAUAAAUAAGCCAGUUUUCUUCAUGCGUAAUCAACAUGUUGCCUAG
rnacentral:lncRNA from 10 species